UUGCGUGCCUUUGCGCCAGAUGUUGCUUUUUGUUACAGCGACUAGAGAGCUUUUCCAUUUUGGGAGCCCCCCUUGCCUCCAUCAGUUUUUUUUUUUUUCUCUUUUCAUCUCUGACGUCAAUGCUUCCAGCCCGUCUCACAGUGAAAGGGUUUUCCCGCUUAGUGCCUCCUGAGAGCUGCCCCGCUUUUUCACAGGUCACUUGUGUAGAAAUUGCGAAUCAGCUUCCUGACUGACUUGCCAGCUUCCCCGUCUCCUUUGUUAGAGCCCGGUGAAAUGGCAGAGUGCACACGAACCGAUGGCGUCAGCAGGAUAUGCGCUCACUUCCUUUGAACAAAAAGCUUGUUCCUGUCAUUUGACUCGAGGCUAUACAAUAACGUUGGAAACAAAUGAGCAGCUUGGAGGUGAGAGACGGCGUCAGUAGCGUGAAAGCCUUUGGGAAGAUUUGAAAUCUAUUAGACAAUCAGCCUGACGGGAUCUGAAUACGUGACACGGAGGAGGACUGAUGAAAGCAACAAAAAGGGAGGAAAUAUAAGACAAACAAAGGGACUAAGCUUUCAGUCCUGAGUGUUAAUUACCACAUCAUCUGUAUGACUGCAAGGCUGCUGCACGACUGCCUAUACCCUGCGUCCCCAACCUACGUCUCUGCCCUCCGUCCAGCUUGUGCAAACACACCCAACCUACAUGAAAAAGCUUUCACACACACACACACACACACACACGAGCACGCGUAUGGUUUCUGCAAUCUUGUAUAACCCACAGUUCAGAGAAAUGAAAGGCCGACUUGUAAACAGACCGAUGACUGUUGGCUGCAUUGUGGAGCCGGUGCAGCUGACGUCAGCCAGACCUGAUGACUUCAUGUGUCCGCUGCCGCCCGAGGAGGUGACAGACAGUUCGACGGAGGAAGGUGACACCGAAUAAACGAGCUGCGCAACUCAGAAACAAGGAGCUGAGAGGGGGAGACGCUCUGACGAGGCAACGCUGGUUGAAACCAAAUGCUUAUUGGCGCGUUAUUAAAUCGCUACUACCAUGGCGCUGGUAGACGAAUUAGCACCACAUCACAGUGACAGACGGUUUCCCUCAGCAUCAGACAUCAAAACAUAGGGUAUGGGUGGGCGUUCAGCUUUGCUUUCCUUAAUCGUUUUCCCUGUACGCUUCUGUUUUUUUAGGUGUUAAUUUUGGGUGUGUGACAGAAAGGGGAAUGAGAAUUAGCAUACACUCUUCUGUUUAGCAACAA